AAAAAUUGUAGAAGUUUCUCAACUUUUUAUUUUGUUUUCCAACAAAGUUAAUUGCGGCUCUUUAGUUUUCCCCAAAACUGAAGAUAGAUUUUCUCCCUCAUUGUUUCACCUAGAUUAUGGUUCUUGAGGCCUGGUUUGAGCUCAAUGAAGAGACUUCAAUAAUCAUUAGUUUGACAGGCUGAUUCUUGGAGAAGUAAGAUAUUCUUAGAAAGAAGCUCAAUCUUGUUGGUUUAAUUUCAAUGCUAUUAGGAUUAAAGUAUAUAUGAGGAAGUAUAUACUCCACUGGUGGAGGAAAGAUCGGGCGUUUAUUUUGGAUAAUUAUUUACAAUGGGAGGAUAUUUUCGAAAUGAUAAAUUUAUGUUCUCAUAAUAGUUUCAAAUAGUAUAUUUUGCUAUACGUUUAGCAUAUAACUAAAGACAUUCUUAUUACAUAUAAAGCAAGAAUGACUAAGUCUCAAGACAUGACUAGAGUUUCUUAUAUCAGUUCCAGCUGCAUUUUUUUUAUGCAAA